rnacentral:rRNA from 1 species
AUUGAACGCUGGCGGCAGGCCUAACACAUGCAAGUCGAGCGGAUGAGGGGAGCUUGCUCCCUGAUUUAGCGGCGGACAGGUGAGUAAUGCGUAGGAAGCUGCCCGAUAGAGGGGGAUACCAGUGGGAAACGACUGUUAAUACCGCAUAAUGUCUCCGGACCAAAGUGUGGGACCUUCGGGCCACAUGCUAUCGGAUGCGCCUACGUGGGAUUAGCUAGUUGGUGAGGUAAUGGCUCACCAAGGCGACGAUCUCUAGCUGGUUUGAGAGGAUGAUCAGCCACACUGGAACUGAGACACGGUCCAGACUCCUACGGGAGGCAGCAGUGGGGAAUAUUGGACAAUGGGCGCAAGCCUGAUCCAGCCAUGCCGCGUGUGUGAAGAAGGCCUUCGGGUUGUAAAGCACUUUCAGCGAGGAGGAAGGGUGGUGUGUUAAUAGCAUAUCAUUUUGACGUUACUCGCAGAAGAAGCACCGGCUAACUCUGUGCCAGCCGCCGCGGUAAAAC